rnacentral:lncRNA from 1 species
CAGCAAGAUGGCUUUGAAACGCUUUCACAACGAAGGUGUGCUCCACUGGGCACCACAACAUACGGUUCAGACGUUUAAAGCCUGUCUCAGCCCAAUUUCCUCUCCAUUUGCUCCCUGGGUAAGGUAUCCCCCCUUCAGUGCAGGCAGAACUGGCGACUUGCUUCUAAUCAACAAAAUAUGGCAAAGUGGUGGAGUCUAGAAGUCUGAGAUCAGGGCACCAGCCUGGCCGAGUUCUGAUGGCGUCUCGCUUUGUCACCCAGGCUGGAGUGCAGUGGCGCGAUCUCGGUUCACUGCAACAUCUACCUCCCAGGUUCAAGUGAUUCUCCUGCCUUAGCCUCCCGAGUAGCUGGGAUUACAGGCACCCACCACCACAUCCGGCGAAUUUUUUGUAUUUUUAGUAGAGACAGGGUUUCACCAUGUUGGCCAGGAUGGUCUUGAUUUCCUGACCUGGUGAUCUGCCCACCUUGGCCUCCCAAACUGCUGGGAUUGCAGGCGUGAGCCACCGUGCCUGGCCGACCACUGAUCUUUUCACUGUAUCCACAGUGUUGCCUUUUCCAGAAUGUCAUAGAAUUUGAAUCAUACUAUAUGUUGCCCUUUCAGAUGAGUUUCUUUCACUUACUAAUAUUCAUUUGUUUCCUCCAUGUCUUUUGGCUUGAUAAUUCAUUUCUUUUUAUCACUGAAUAAUAUUCCAUUGUCUGAUGUACCACAGUUUAUUUACGCAUUUACCUACUGAAGGAUAUCAGGACAUCUUAGUUGCCUCUGAGUUUUUGGCAAUUAUGAAUAAAACUGCUAUAGAAAGAUGUGUGCAGGUUUUUCUGUGGAUAUAGUUUUCAACUCCUUUGGGUAACUCCAAGGAGUGUGGUCGCUGGAUCAUAUAGUAAGAGUAUGUGUAGUUUUGUAACAAAUAGCCAAAUGUUCUCCAAAGUGGCAUUAGCAUUUUGCUUUCCCACCAGCAAGGAAUAAGAGUUCCUGUUGCUCUGUAUCCUCACCAGCAUUUGGUGGUGUCAGUGUUCUGGAUUUUGGCCAUUGUAAUAAAUGUGUGGUGUUAUCUCAUUGUUGUUUUAAUUUGCAUUUGCCUGAUGACAUACAAUGUGGAACAUCUUUUUAUUGAAGCUAAUGUUUUAAGCCUGGCAAUUUAGUCUCUUCUCUUCCUGUAACCCUGAGCCACUGAGCACAGCUUUCUCCAGAAGCACCUGUGAGUCACUAUACACCACUGCUAUCUCCUGAAUGCUGGAGGCACUGGAGUGGGCCCUUUCAACUUUCAUUUUCUUAUUACCUAGAGAACUUGGCAUUGGUAGAUGCCCAAAAAAUGUAUGUGAGAUGCCUGCACAUUAAAAGACUGGCUGAAAACUUAAGCAGUAUACUGGUUUAGAUCAUUCAUCGCUGUCGGCAAGAGUAAAAAGCUAUGUAGCAGCAUUCUGAAGUAAUAAGCAACAGGCAUGUUAUUUCAGUUUCCAGAUCAAGUGCUGCUCUCAAAAUUGCAAAUUGACUUCUGGCCAGAGCCCUCUUGGAAGUUUCCUCAUUUUGCAAGUGCAGCUCUUUCCCCUGCUUGACAGGGGAAUGUACUGAGCACUCCCAGAUGGGCCUUUCCCAAGCAGGAACCAAUGGGCCCAAAUGAAUCAAGUUGAAGGAGAGUGAGCAGAGUCAGCAGUGAGAGAAAGACUUAGCUGCAAGGUCAAAAUCCGUCUGAAAACAGACACGAUGGAAGACAGACAGUUCCUCCUGGAUCAUCGUAUAAAGAAAAGGGAUGGAUCAAGACAGGGAUUGCUGAUGCAUAUCUGCUCGCUGUUUGACUACAAAAUACUCUCAUGAUUGAUUCUGUGUCUGCCACCCAAGAUCAGUCUCAAGGAAAUGCUGACAAAACCCUGGCACCCAGAGUCACAGAGCUCAGUUUCCAGCCCUAGCACCACCCUUGAUAACUUGAGUGACCUUGGACUCCUGGUCUCUGCCUCAGUUUCCAAAUUAAAUGAGUGUGGUGAAAACUU